rnacentral:rRNA from 1 species
UCAAAAACAUCUUUUCUUGUUAGUUUCUGAAGUAUGGCCUGCCCGCUGACGUAUUUUGAGUUGAAGGGCCGCGGUAUUUUGACCGUGCAAAGGUAGCAUAGUCAUUAGUUCUUUAAUUGUGAUCUGGUAUGAAUGGCUUGACGAGACAUGGGCUGUCUUGGGUGUGAAUUUGUUGUUGAAUUUGGAGUUUAAGUUAAAAUUCUUAGAUGUUUUUAUGGGACGAGAAGACCCUAUAGAGUUUGACAUUUGAUUGCGUAUUUCUUGUUGUUUGUUUUGAAUUUUUGUGCAUCUCUUGUUUUGUUGGGGUGAUGGGAGGAAUUUAUUUAA